CGGACGGGUGAGUAACGCGUGAGGAACCUGCCUUUCAGAGGGGGACAACAGUUGGAAACGACUGCUAAUACCGCAUAACACAUCGGAGUCGCAUGGCUCUGAUGUCAAAGAUUUAUCGCUGAAAGAUGGCCUCGCGUCUGAUUAGCUAGUUGGUGAGGUAACGGCCCACCAAGGCGACGAUCAGUAGCCGGACUGAGAGGUUGACCGGCCACAUUGGGACUGAGAUACGGCCCAGACUCCUACGGGAGGCAGCAGUGGGGAAUAUUGGGCAAUGGGCGCAAGCCUGACCCAGCAACGCCGCGUGAAGGAAGAAGGCUUUCGGGUUGUAAACUUCUUUUGUCAGGGACGAGUAGAAGACGGUACCUGACGAAUAAGCCACGGCUAACUACGUGCCAGCAGCCGCGGUAAUACGUAGGUGGCAAGCGUUGUCCGGAUUUACUGGGUGUAAAGGGCGUGUA
rnacentral:rRNA from 1 species